CAAGACAUCACUUAACAUUUACUAAACUGCUUGAAUGUGCAUUUGCUCAUGCUUUAACUUCAUUCCGUAAGUGUCAAGUUGAACGUGUGACACCGCCCCGAUCACUCUUUGGAGGUAGGAUUAAGUGUGAACCAACAAAAUUCUCAGGCUAUGCAUACCUUGCUUCCUCUUCCCCACAGAGGCCUUUUCAUGGAGCAGCCAACUGGUCAACACUGUAGUUGUUUCCUGUCCUUUGAGAAGAACAAUGGUGAGAUGCACAGAAUUUUCUGUAUGGGGAACCCAGCAGCAGAGCAGUUUUUAAGACGCUUGGCACAAGGGAUCACCAACGCCUCCACAGAAAGAUACAAAAGAAGCAGACUGUAAAUGAUCUCAACCCUGUCCAAAUUUAGAUGCCUUGAAAAUUAGAAUUCAGGAAAUGGGAUUUUAUUUAAAAAACCCAAAAUCAGGAAUCCAGAAAUAAGAAAUAAGAAGUGAUCAAUAAUUAGUUGAAUUUCACAGAAGAGUUGCCUGGACCCCAGUUUCCCUGCCUUUGCAUUCAGUCUCCAGCAUAGAAUGCCAGAAGCACGCUACUAAAAAAUACAGUUCAAGAAAGUUGAUGAAUGGACACACAAACAAGUAUUUCUACGCAAUGCUCCUUUGCUUAUAGGAGGUCUUUCAAAAUAUUUUUAAAGAUAUAAUUCUGGUUGAUAGCAUCCAGAAGGUAAAAAUAAUGAAAGCUAUUUCUCUCGGGUAAGAUUUAUAUUUUAGUUAUAAUCUAAUGCAUAUGGACUAGAUUCUGAUUUCUUGUCCUGAUGUAAAUCAGAAAUUAGGAAUUUACAGCAUUAUAGUUGUGAAAAGGUUAUAUCCUUUCUGAUCCUUUAUGAGCUGAAGUCAUCAGACAACACAGAUUUUGUAGGUUUUUGCUCUUCAGGCUCUAUAUUAAAGGUUAUCCCACUCUAUAUUGUAAUCUAUAUGAUACUAUGAAAGUCCCAGAUGAUUUCUGUAUGUUUUCCCAUGUGCUAAGCUGAAGGCUACCAUACUAAAACUACAGUAUAUAAUUGUUUGGUCAGCUAUGUCAUUGAUUGAAGCUAGCAUAGUCAUAAAUUCAAGGACUGUGAAGGCCAGUGUCAUAACAAUUUCCUCUUUGGGCUUGAGUCCAGGGUUUUUAUUAGAUUGUAUUUUCAUUUAAUAACAUGUAUAGUUCAAAUCAUUUUAAACCAGAAUUCACUUUGUACUCUAGACUAUAGACGUGCUGAGGUAAAUGUUCUUAUGACAAAGAAUUACGAGGAAAUGGCAAGGACUCUGCAGUACAUUGUAUCAUAAGAUCAAGAGAGGAUUGUAGUGGGGGGGCUUGCAAUGGAAAGCUUUAUUCUGUGAUUCAGCUAAAGUAUAUUGGGUCAGUUUCUUACCAAGAUCCCAGAAAUCGGCAGAUAUUUAGAUUAAGGUGAAAUUCUCAUCUGCUUAUGAGUACAGUGCCUUGAAUUUUUUCCCCUUAGUGUAAUUAGUACCAAAUAAAAUAUGUUGCUAAGAUAAAUCA
rnacentral:lncRNA from 1 species